CUGCAGAUCAUUUCACAGAUACCUUGUUUGAUAAAUUUCAAAAUAUGAUUUAAGUUUAAUUCCCAACAUUAAUUGACCAUUUCUUCUUGAUGUUGAAUGAUGGGCAGAUUGAUCUAUCAUAUUAUGACUUGUUUGGGAGUCUUAAGUUAGUUCUAUUAAAUGGUUCCAAGCUUCUGAGUAAACAAGAGCCACUAAAAGAAUCAGUCAUUGAAAUCUUUAACUGCAAAGAGGGCGAAUUUGCAUACCCUUGGGUUGAGAAAGUCAUCGUGGAACAGGUUGAUUUUUGGUCGGGUUUCUUGAAGCUUUAAGGUUGUAUGAUCGUGGCUGGCGCCAAAUAGAAGGUAAGUGCACAAUGAGUUGAAUUGAUUUACUUAUCUUUGCCAUGUUCACUAUGGUUUGAACAGUUUAAGUUACUCUUAUUUUCAUGCAGAGCAUGUAGGCACCAAAUCUGCAGUUAAAAUUCGAAGCCAUGCUCAAAAUUUUUUCUCUAAGACUCAUUGCUUUGAGUUCAUUAGAUUUCCUUGAUUAAGAAUCAAAAGUUUUAU